AGAGUUUGAUCCUGGCUCAGAUUGAACGCUGGCGGCAUGCCUUACACAUGCAAGUCGAACGGCAGCAUGACCUAGCUUGCUAGAUUGAUGGCGAGUGGCGAACGGGUGAGUAAUACAUCGGAACGUGCCCUGUAGUGGGGGAUAACUAGUCGAAAGAUUAGCUAAUACCGCAUACGACCUGAGGGUGAAAGUGGGGGACCGCAAGGCCUCAUGCUAUAGGAGCGGCCGAUGUCUGAUUAGCUAGUUGGUGGGGUAAAGGCCCACCAAGGCGACGAUCAGUAGCUGGUCUGAGGGGACGAUCAGCCACACUGGGACUGAGACACGGCCCAGACUCCUACGGGAGGUAGCAGUGGGGAAUUUUGGACAAUGGGCGAAAGCCUGAUCCAGCAAUGCCGCGUGUGUGAAGAAGGCCUUCGGGUUGUAAAGCACUUUUGUCCGGAAAGAAAUGGCUCUGGUUAAUACCUGGGGUCGAUGACGGUACCGGAAGAAUAAGGACCGGCUAACUACGUGCCAGCAGCCGCGGUAAUAC
rnacentral:rRNA from 1 species